rnacentral:rRNA from 1 species
CCUACGGGUGGCAGCAGUGAGGAAUAUUGGUCAAUGGACGAGAGUCUGAACCAGCCAAGUAGCGUGAAGGAUGACUGCCCUAUGGGUUGUAAACUUCUUUUAUAUGGGAAUAAAACGUUCCACGUGUGGGAUUUUGUAUGUACCAUAUGAAUAAGGAUCGGCUAACUCCGUGCCAGCAGCCGCGGUAAUACGGAGGAUCCGAGCGUUAUCCGGAUUUAUUGGGUUUAAAGGGAGCGUAGGUGGAUUGUUAAGUCAGUUGUGAAAGUUUGCGGCUCAACCGUAAAAUUGCAGUUGAAACUGGCAGUCUUGAGUACAGUAGAGGUGGGCGGAAUUCGUGGUGUAGCGGUGAAAUGCUUAGAUAGCACGAAGAACUCCGAUUGCGAUGGCAGUUCACUGGACUGCAACUGACACUGAGGCUCGAAAGUGUGGGUAUCAAACAGGAUUAGAUACCCGAGUAGUC